rnacentral:rRNA from 1 species
UACAGAGGUCUCAAGCGUUUGUUCGGAUUCAUUGGGCGUAAAGGGUGCGUAGGCGGCGCGGUAAGUCGGGUGUGAAAUUUCGAGGCUUAACUUCGAAACUGCAUUCGAUACUGCCGUGCUUGAGGACUGGAGAGGAGACUGGAAUUUACGGUGUAGCGGUGAAAUGCGUAGAUAUCGUAAGGAAGACCAGUGGCGAAGGCGGGUCUCUGGACAGUUCCUGA